rnacentral:rRNA from 1 species
UGGGGAAUCUUGGACAAUGGGGGAAACCCUGAUCCAGCCAUGCCGCGUGAGCGAUGACGGCCUUAGGGUUGUAAAGCUCUUUCACCGGUGACGAUAAUGACGGUAGCCGGAGAAGAAGCCCCGGCUAACUCCGUGCCAGCAGCCGCGGUAAUACGGAGGGGGCUAGCGUUGUUCGGAAUUACUGGGCGUAAAGGGCGCGUAGGCGGACCGUUAAGUCGGGGGUGAAAUCCCGGGGCUCAACCCCGGAACUGCCUUCGAUACUGGCGGUCUGGAGGUCGAGAGAGGCGAGUGGAAUUCCGAGUGUAGAGGUGAAAUUCGUAGAUAUUCGGAGGAACACCAGCGGCGAAGGCGGCUCGCUGGCUCGCACCUGACGCUGAGGCGCGAAAGCGUGGGGAGCAAACAGGAUUAGAUACCCCCGUAGUCC